UACGUAGGGUGCAAGCGUUGUCCGGAAUUAUUGGGCGUAAAGAGCUCGUAGGCGGUUUGUUGCGUCGGCUGUGAAAUCCCGAGGCUCAACCUCGGGUCUGCAGUCGAUACGAGCAAACUAGAGUGUUGCAGGGGAGACUGGAAUUCCUGGUGUAGCGGUGAAAUGCGCAGAUAUCAGGAGGAACACCGGUGGCGAAGGCGGGUCUCUGGGACGGUACUGACGCUGAGGCACGAAGGUCAGGGGAGCAAACGGG
rnacentral:rRNA from 1 species